GGGAUCUCUCUAAAAUUAUUUUGUGAUGGCAUGAUUGCUUGGUUUUCCCAGUUUAGCUGACUAAAAUGGGUUCUUUCUUCUUCCCAUUAAAUGAGGAGUUAACUGUGUGUGUGUGUGUGUGUGAGAGAGAGAGAGAGAGAGAGAGAUUGUGUAAUUAAGAAGUAAAAGACAGGUGUUUAUGGACCGGUGUGGUUUGCAUAAGUGACCUGUAGGGGGCAUCAAACACACAAGCAGCUGUGCUCAGGAUAAUGUUGGACUUGAGUUGAGUUUAUUUGUUAGUCUCAGAGGGAAAAUCAUCGAGUCUUCGUCUGAGUUAGUUUUCGUGUUAUUUAUUGUUCAAGACUGCAGAGGCUUGCCUUGCUCAGUCAUAGAGAGACAACACAAUAAGGGACCGAUUGAGAAUAUCAGAGCAGUUUGAACAGUGCUUCUUUUCUUAUGUGGUUUCAGGAAGAAGAACUGAAGCGGCAGAAGGCAAUUGCUUUCAAAUUCACUUACAAAUUCCCCACCGAGUGCUAAAAUAACAGCCUUUUCCAAAGUGGUCUGUUUGCCAUUUUUCUUUUUGUAGCUCUUCUUUUUCUAAACACGUAUGCAGAGAACCAUAGCUUAAAAUUUUGGUGGACCCUGCUUAUCACAGGAACAGGCACAAUUUUUCUAUUUCCUUAAGAAUAGUUCACCCAAAAUUAAAAUUAGCAGAAGAUGUACUCGCCCUCAGUUUCUUCAGCGGAAGAUAUCUGGAAAAAGUUUGAAUUACAUCACUUGCUUUUCACUUAAGACAUUAACUGAUGGACUUUAAUUGAUGCAUCCAUACAUUGCUGAGAAUCCAGUUAGAGGAAGUGAUGUAAUGCUGAAUUUCUCUAAAUCUGUUCUGAUGAAGAAACAAACUCCUCUACAUCUCAGAUGACCUGAAACUAAGCAAAUACUCAGCAAAUUUUCAUUUUAGGGUGAACUUUUCCUUUAACAGACAUGCAUGUUUAAUGCAAGUCAAAAGCUUUCCAUUCCAGCACAAUACUUAGAUUAAAUCGGCUUAUCGUCAUCCAAAUGCUUAAGCUGCCUUGGCUACGAUACCCUGAUCAAUAAGUGAGUUUGUAAUGUGUGUGUGUGUGUGUGUGUUCUACAUCAGAUUGCUCUCUGGAGAGAGUAAAGGCUCUUAUUAUAGCAGCACAGUAGCAUCUGUGGUCUAAGCAUAUUUACAAAAACUUAAUUUGUGUCUUCAGUCCUGAUUUUUUCCUUGUUUGAUUAGUUCAGCCAGUUUAUCAAUGUGAAUGAAAAAAAAAAAAUAUAAGUAAGACCUGUGUGUAUUAUGGUUGUGUAAUUUGUCUUUUCGUCAGGAGUGCAGGUGCGACACUUUUUGUAUUGUUCGGAAAAUGUCAAAAGUGUUCAACCUUGUAAUGUUCACCAGCGCUAUAAAAUAAUAAUUGUUUGGUCAGUGUUUCUUAUUUUGUGUCAAUGUCCCAGGGGAAAAAAACAAUAUGAAUGUACCAGAAUGUAUUUAUAACAUGGAUGAUUAUUAAAUAUUUCUUUUAUUAUUAUUAUUAACUUGAACUGCAACCAUUUUAGAUCAUCAUAACGCUUCAGUUUAAAACUUAAGACACUAACCUACUCUUAACCUCCCACCGAGUGCUUUCUUACUUUUAGGCCCACAUUGAAAGUAUUAUUAAUGUUUUGAGCGUUUUCCCCAAAACUGGUGUGUUGGGACUAUUACUGAUCAAGUUUAACUGCAAUUUGUCUGUGUUCUGCGCUUCAUCUGUAAAUUUGACUGCUUAAGUCUAGUGCUGACAGAGUCUUUGUAGCUCUUCUGACUGAAAACAUUGUUAUUUUUCUGCUAAAUCAAGGGGACUGAAACUGGGACUGAAAGGCCUUUGCUGUGGUGGGUUUAGGCAAGGGCUUUGUAUAGAAAAAGAUAUAAUGCAUAUCCUAGAUAAUGGCGUAAGUUAACAAUAAUAUUGGGAUACAAUAGUUUUAUAUUUGAAAUGUGUGAAGGUAAAAUUGACCAGAGUUAUAAAACACAAAAAAGCUUUGAGAAUGUCAUGUAGGUUGAAACAUUGUAACAUACUAUUUUAAAUAAAAUGACCUAUUGAAAAAAAAAAAAA